UCUGGAGUGAGUUAGUCGAACGGGUACGGAGUAACGACGUAGGUAACCGUAGCCUCGGUAGUCGGGGGAGUAACGUAAUUGUAACGAAUAGCUAAUACCGCAUAAGAGUAGAUGUCGCAUGACAUUUGUCUUAAAAGGUAGGCAAUUGCAUCACUACCAGAUGGACCUGCGUUGUAUUAGCUAGUUGGUGAGGUAACGGCUCACCAAGGCAACGAUACAUAGCCGACCUGAGAGGGUGAUCGGCCACACUGGGACUGAGACACGGCCCAGACUCCUACGGGAGGCAGCAGUAGGGAAUCUUCGGCAAUGGACGGAAGUCUGACCGAGCAACGCCGCGUGAGUGAACGAAGGUUUUCGGAUCGUAAAGCUCUGUUGUAAGAGAAGAACGAGUGUGAGAGUGGAAAGUUCACACUGUGACGGUAUCUUACCAGAAAGGGACGGCUAACUACGUG
rnacentral:rRNA from 1 species